rnacentral:rRNA from 2 species
UCGAGCGGAGUAUUUGAAAAGCUUGCUUUUCAAAUCUUAGCGGCGGACGGGUGAGUAACACGUGGGCAACCUGCCCUUGAGACGGGGAUAACUCCGGGAAACCGGAGCUAAUACCGGAUAACACAUAUCUUCGCAUGAGGAUAUGUUAGAAGGUGGCUUUUAGCUACCACUCAAGGAUGGGCCCGCGGCGCAUUAGCUAGUUGGUGAGGUAACGGCUCACCAAGGCGACGAUGCGUAGCCGACCUGAGAGGGUGAUCGGCCACACUGGGACUGAGACACGGCCCAGACUCCUACGGGAGGCAGCAGUAGGGAAUCUUCCGCAAUGGACGAAAGUCUGACGGAGCAACGCCGCGUGAGUGAUGAAGGUUUUCGGAUCGUAAAGCUCUGUUGUUAGGGAAGACAAGUACCUGUUAAAUAAGCAGGUACCUUGACGGUACCUAACCAGAAAGCCACGGCUAACUACGUGCCA